rnacentral:tRNA from 1 species
GGCCCGAUAGCUCAGCUGGUAGAGCAAGGGACUGAAAAUCCCUGUGUCGGCGGUUCAACUCCACCUUGGGCCACCA